AUUGAGGUCUAUCCCGAUGGGUCUUUGAUGUAAGGCCAUAUCGUUGGAAACGCCUCAAAAAUUAAGCUUGCAGAUUAAUGGUACCUGCUAUAAAUGCAUUUAUAGCAGACAUUACUGCAUAACAUUU